AGCAGCCGCGGUAAUUCCAGCUCCAAUAGCGUAUAUUAAAGUUGUUGCAGUUAAAAAGCUCGUAGUUGAAUUUCGGGAUCAAUAUAUCGGUCGUGCCAUCGGUACGUACUGGUAUGAUUGGUUUCUCCUUUCUGACGAACCAUGAUGUCAUUAAUUUGGUGUUAUGGGAAGUUAGGACUGUUACUUUGAAAAAAUUAGAGUGUUUAAAGCAGGCUUUAGCUUGAAUACAUUAGCAUGGAAUAAUGAAAUAGGACGUUCGAACCUAUUUUGUUGGUUUCUAGGAUCAACGUA
rnacentral:rRNA from 1 species